rnacentral:rRNA from 1 species
CUGCUGCCUCCCGUAGGAGUUUGGGCCGUGUCUCAGUCCCAAUGUGGCCGGUCCACCCUCUCAGGCCGGCUACUGAUCGUCGCUUUGGUAGGCCGUUACCCUGCCAACUGGCUAAUCAGACGCGGGCCCAUCUUAUACCACCGGAGUUUUUCACCCUGGGCCAUGCGGCCCUGGGCGCUUAUGCGGUCUUAGCACCUAUUUCUAAGUGUUAUCCCCCUGUAUAAGGCAGGUUACCCACGCGUUACUCACCCGUCGCCACUAAAGUAAAAUU